CAGUCGCCGCGGUAAUACGAAGGGUGCAAGCGUUAAUCGGAAUUACUGGGCGUAAAGCGUGCGUAGGCGGUUUGUUAAGUCUGCUGUGAAAUCCCCGGGCUCAACCUGGGAAUGGCAGUGGAUACUGGCAAGCUAGAGUGUGUCAGAGGAUGGUGGAAUUCCCGGUGUAGCGGUGAAAUGCGUAGAGAUCGGAAGGAACAUCUGUGGCGAAGGCGACUAUCUGGGCCAACACUGACACUGAGGCACGAAAGCGUGGGGAGCAAACAGGAUUAGAUACCCGAGUAGUCCCUGUCUCUUAUAC
rnacentral:rRNA from 1 species